AUACUAAGAGGCAUCAAUUAUUCAGUUUGAACAAUUGUAAGUUGGUGUUUUGGCAUCUGUUUUUGAUAUUUUGAUAACUGUUUUUUAUCUAUAUAAAUGUUUCAGGUGAUGGAAUUAGAUGUCAAAGAAAGGACAGAGAGCGAAAUUGGAGCCGUUCAAAUUUUAUGUAGUCCCUUUGAUCAGCCAGAACUAUUAGAAGGCACCAAGUGCUUUGCAUCAGAUAAGCCUGCAAAGAAGUGGACUUAUUGGGGCAAAAGUUAUUAGGCAAUUGAGUACUAGAGCUGAUAAAAGAAUAGAAACUGUUUGAGUUUGUGAUGGUUUUAUAUUAAGUUUUAAAUAAUAGUAAGUAAAUAGCUUUAACUUUAUGUAUAAAACUCUUAGUUUUAUUUUUAAAGUGCUUUAGGAUGAAAA